UGGCUCAGUUGGUAGAGCAUGAGACUCUUGACCUCAGAGUUGUGAGUUCAAAACCCAC
rnacentral:tRNA from 1 species